AUUAAUAAUAAUAAAAUAUUAAAUAUUUUUUUGUAUAUUUUAUUUGGUACAUCUAUCAAAAGUAUCUCACUACAGACGGCAGAUAUGAACCCGACGAUGUCUUCUCCCGCGAUGGUGAUAGUGAUAGUGAAGGCGACGACGAGCUCUCCGACCGCGGCGGAAGAAGGAAUUGGGCGCAUAUUAGUGAGAGAGAGAGAGCGUGAGCGAGGGAAGGAGGCGAUGAUGUAUAUCUAGAGGUGAGAGAUAGAGAAUUGAUGAACAAAUCAGAGAUAAAAAAUUGAAAGUUCGGUGGAAGGAGGAAAAUGGGCCAUGAUGAAUAAUUAGAGAUAGAGAGGUUAGAAUCGUAGAUAGUAGUAGGAUCAUUUAAAUAUAUUAAUUGGAAGUUUGGUAGUGGAACCAUUUACAUUAAUUGAAAAUAUAGUGGAGAGAAGGUAGUGGGACUAUUUAAAUGUACUAAUUAAAAGUUUGAUUAAUGGGACUGUUAAAAUGCAUAUUGAUAAUUUAGUGAACAUGAUGAAUAAUUGGAGAUAGAGAGAUUAUGAUCGUAGAUAGUAGUAGGACCAUUUAAUAUACUAAUUGAAAGUUUGGUAGUGGAACCAUUUACAUUAAUUGAAAGUAUAGUGGAGGAAAGACAGUGGGACCAUUUAAAUCCACUAAUUGAAAAUUUGGUUAAUGAGACCGUUAAGAUGCAUAUUAAAAAUUUAGUGAUAGAAAAAAGAAAAGUCAUUUGUUAGUGAGGGUGAAAAAAAACUUGCCAUGUGGCAACAAAUAUUGAUGAUUUAUAUAGUUUAAUAGACUAGUGUAGUAAUCUGUGCUAUACAAUUAGGGGUGGAA
rnacentral:lncRNA from 1 species